UAGUUGAAUUUGUGUCUUGCGCUGUCGGUUCAUCGCUGUUUGCGGUGUUUAACUGGCACGUUGUGAGACGUCUUGCCGGAAGGGCAUGGUAUAUGUUUUAUUUGUGUCUGCAUAAUAUGCACUAUAUAAUGAUUGAUUUUUUAUAUAUUAUAGUUAAUAGCUUAAUAUAUUUGAAUUGAUUGUUUAUAGGUUAGUAUAUUAUGUUUUCGGCCUUAUAAUAACGUGUACGUAGUCCGACUUUUUGAAAAAAUCCUGUCUAGGUGCUCUUAAUUGAGUGUCGUGGCGGGCCGGCACGUUUACUUUGAACAAAUUAGAGUGCUUAAAGCAGGCUUAUGUUGCCUGAAUAUAGUGUGCAUGGAAUAAUGAAACAGGACCUCGGUUCUAUUUUGUUGGUUUUCUGAACUGACGAGGUAAUGAUUAAUAGGGACAGAUGGGGGCAUUCGUAUUGCGACGUUAGAGGUGAAAUUCUUGGAUCG
rnacentral:rRNA from 1 species